AUUUAAGAUACAUUCUGACUCA
rnacentral:miRNA from 1 species